CCUGGGGUGAAAAGAAAAGGAAAAAAAACAGAGACAAAAACGCUAAGAGACAGGGGCGGGGACAACAGAAAGAUGGCGGCUGGCGAUGAUAGAUUGAUGUGAGAUGAUAAACUGAUGUGAAUCUAUCAGGUUUCCAAAAAACCUAGGCAAUGCUGCACCUAGUCGGAUACAGUGGAUUACAGCAGUAAUCCUAGUACUCAGGAGGCUGAGGCAGGAAGAUGGCAAGGUCCACAUAGGACCGGGAUACACAGUAAUAAGCUAUCUAAACAUAAAAACAGAUAAGCAAGACAGAUGAACCCAAUUAAUAGCCCAUGAAUCCUUCCCUGGGGGGGGGGGGGGGAGACACGAUGACAUUUUGCUUGCUGUUAUUCCUCGCCUCCCCAAGCAUUUCCCUACUUUUAUCCAUGCCUCUAGGCUGUGUGGACCAGCUAUGGAAAAGAAGCAGAUGAAGUGACGUGUAAGAAGUAAGGCAUGUAGUCUGUGUCUCUUUCCUAGAGGAACUCUGGCUGCAGAAGAGGAGCUGGGGCCAGCCCUUGGACGGGUGGGUCACCAGGAAUUCACUCUCAUGUCAACAGCCACUAAUUUCCCCUUUUGGGGAGUGUGCCUUGAUUCACCUCCUACCCGUCAAGCUGCAAAUUCCAUGUCCACAUGACCAUUCACUGGAGCCCAGCUGCCAGGAGACAGGGGUGUCCCGGGAGACAAGUAGUGCCACAAUCAUGCCUCAGAGACCCAGAGGACAAACAGGAUCUCUCCAUGAUGCACAGUGGCUCUUCAUUCAUGCUCCUCCUGCCCACUCAGCGUGACUCUCUGGAGAGGUGACUUUCCUCACAACUAAAUCAAGUUUCUCCCUAGCAUCAGUCACUUAAGCAAGCGACACUUAGUGUUGAGGUGUGGGAGGCAACUUUGGAGUCACUGCAGUGGUUGAAAAGGAGCCGGUCAGGGGCUGGCAGCAUCCAGGAACUUGUUAGAAACAGAAAUUCCCAACUAUCUCUACACCUGACAGAGACACAGAAGAGAAGGCUCAGCAGACUGUACUAAUGAUCUAGUGAUGGCUAACCUUUGAAAACAAGCCUGCCUGGAAGAAGAACAUGAGGACCAGAAGGUGGUUUGGCAACCCCAUCAUCUACCUUGCUUAGAUGUUAGUGUGACAUGUAGGGCGUGUCAGAGUAUCAGAGGUCAAUGACUGAGCCAACUCUGGCUAUGUGAUCACAUUCCAGGUGUGCUCUCAACUGUUGCAGCAGGGUCCUUUUUACAUAGUGCUUGUAACAUAGCAUGUCUGCACGUAGCUUCCAGUAAAUGCUUGCUCUCCUUAGAAGUCUGUACCAACUUAAAAAAAUGAGAGAAUGGACUGGUGCAUCCUAAGAGGUUGUAGGAGAGGUAAGGACAGCCACCAAAGCCUGCAACAUUUGGCCAAAAUGGAUGGCCUGUAAGCAGGGCCAGUGAGCAGAGAGGGAGCUCCCCGCAGCGAGGUCAGAGGUCAUCUCUGUUCUGGAUCCCACUUUCUGUGCUGGAAGCAGACUUGUCAAUGGGGGAGAACACUCUAUCUUACCAGAGCAGACGGUGGCGCUGUAGGCAAAUGCCCCAUCGGAGGUCACAGAGCAGAAAGAGCAUUCUGGUGGUGUCCUGACUGUUGAGUAAGUUAAGUUUGGGGCUGAGCAGAGACACACGACUGAGAGAACAGUGUGCGGCAAAUGAGUCUGAGUGCCUGAGGUGUAGACCUUAAGAAAGCGGGAGCUCAUUAAAGGGAAGUCGGGGGCAAAUUACAACACACCAAGCAGCUAACGGGAGGACAAAGGACUGAUGUCUGGGAGAUAAGCCCAGGUCCCAGAAUCUCUAACUAGGUAGGUGACCCGAGAAAAUGACAUGUCCUCUCCUGGCUCAUGUGCUUACACUGUAAGCCGAGACUGGAGGCAGAGGUCUUGGCAGCCCACCCCAACUCAUGGACUUGGAAAGGCUAACAGUGAUGAAAACCGGCCAGCACUUGGCCGUUAAUGUGUGCAUUAACCUCUGGCUCACAGAAUCCUCAUCUUAGCUGGGUAUCCCAGGAACAGACCACAGGGGAGGAUUUAUGUUCAAGUGGUUUAUGAUGUCCUCAGGGUAAGUGAGAAAACGGUGAGGGAGUCAAGAAGCAAUCUCAGGUGCCCAGCCUCAGUGGGAGCUUUGGCCUGAUGUCUGGGGACUCCUGAAGUAUAAGUCCUGUCUCCAAGUAGCCUUGGCUCCCCCCUAAGCUGCAGGAAUUGGGGUGUCUUUGGUACCAGGAUCUGGUGAGACUACAUAGUUCUGGCUACAACAGAUGCUGGCUAGAUGUAGGUGCCAGCUGUUGAAACAGAACCAUAGGCUAAAGGGGAUUGCCCUACAUAAAAGUUCGAGAAAAUUGGAUCUAAGGGGAUCCAGGCUGUGUACUUAACACAAUGCAACAGUAGCAGGUCUGAGUUGUAUAUGAGAGAAGGAUGAGGGGUGGUGGUGGGGUCCUGGGUAUUUGAGGUUGAAUGUCUCAAAAAGACCAGACAAGAGUUGUCCAUUCAAGACCCUCAUGGAGAGAAGCUGUUCUAGGCAUAGAUAGGGACUGGGUCUCUUUGGAGGACCCUCGGAGUCACUCUGAACUUAUCCUGAUAAAAUAGCUCUGGAUAUGCCAAAGAACUAAAGUAAAGAAAUCCAUGGCUAAUGGACCAUCCCUGAACGAAAUAGAAAUCCCUCCGCUGUCAAGAGGCGUCAGAGCCUUAAGCUUUCUGCUGCCCAUUUUAAUAACAAUAAUACAAAUAUUAAAGGAUGGCUGGGAACGCCUGCGCUAAUGCAGAGUUAAUUAACAUGUUGUCUGGGAAUGUAGCAGGGAGAAGAAUUAUUUCGUGUCACCAAGACACAAGUUAAUUAACACUGGGCUCUCCCAGACUAGUUUUUUUUUUUCCCUUCUCCUUUUUGAAAAUGGAAAAGAUUAACAAGCCCAGGCAGCGCCGCCUUUCUUCCUGAAUGUUCUAUAAAACCGGGGAGAUAGGGAGGAAUCGGCUCUUUUGACCUCACUGAAUCUGACUUCGUUUAAUAAGAUUCAAAUGAUUCAACAGGGAUGGAGGCAGGAGCCCAGCGGGAGUCAUUUACCCAGCUGCUUUCUGAUGGACCUGGCAGGCCUGGGGGAAGAAGAGUCCUACGUGACUAUGACUACAUGCCUUUGCUACAGUGGACUUCUGCUACGAGUGAAGUGUCACACGGGGAGAAUGCUUACAAGGUCAAUUUACUUUUGUUCUUGUUUUAAUCACUGGAAGCUGAGUUGCAACAUACAUCUUGUUAGUUGCGAUAGUCACGGAAAUAAAGCUCUCUUCUAAUAUGG